CAAGCUGUAGAUGUCCAAAACAAGUACCAAGCACUUGAAUAAUGCUUUAAAGCAUGAUGUCUUCAUUCUUACAUAGCUGCAAAUUUAUAAACAGAUGGUUUCAACAGCUUGAGCUCGCCUCUUUGCAGAUGAUGCCAGAUGCUCCCUCUCUAACAGGCAGCUUAAUUCCCUUUCACCCACGUACACAGAAACAGGUGAUAUCAGAUGCCCCCUCAGCUCCAGGUCUCAGCAAAGUCCUGCCAGAAGACUGCUCCAGCGCAGACUUCCCACAGAGUCACAGUCUCUUUGAGUAUCUACUUGCUCAUCUGGCUGCAGGGCAGUCUCUGCUCCAGCACCUGGAUCACCUUCUCUGCUUCUGUCUUCACUGACCUUGGUGUCUGCAGAGCUAUUUCUCUCACAUAUUCUGACUCCUCUCUUCUCCAGCUGCAACUGCUGCUGCACAGAGGGCUUUUUUCCCACAGAAUCUAGGCCUAUAGACCUCUCACUACCAAAACAUUUCCAUGUAAACACAUUAUGAUCUGUAGAAGUCGCUAGAAAGAUGUGCCUUUGGAAUAAAAAA